UAACUAAUUGACUUUGAAACUGCGAAUGGCUCAUUAUAUCAGUUAUAGUUUAUUUGGUGAAGGAUACUAAUUGGAUAACCGUAGUAAUUCUAGGGCUAAUACAUGAGUAAAGUCCCGUUGGGAUGUGUUUAUUAGAAUGAAAACCAUAUGCUUCGGCAUGAUAGUGAGUAAUAGUAACCUAUCGUAUCGCAUGCUUAAAGUAGCGAUGAGUCUUU
rnacentral:rRNA from 1 species